CCAAGGUCGAGGCCAGGGUUGAGGUCAAGGCUGGUGCUGGGGGAUGAUCAUAUAAGUAGCGGUGGUGGCCGGCUAAAAGGGCAAGGUGUUCACAGCUAGUGAAGUUGUAGAAGAGUCAACAAUUGCCACAACAGAGGCUAGUGCAAGUGGCAAGGAAUUGGGCCAAGCAGCUAGAGUAGGAGAUGGUAAUGUGAAUUGCCAUGGCCAUGAUCUUGGAGAAAUAAAGCAAGAUCGGAUGCAUGGAGGUUGGAGGAGAUUGCUGAGGGAUUGAGGGAAGGCUUGAGGUGAUAGAGAGGAUGCCCUUUUUAUAGAAGAGAUUGUCGUAUCG
rnacentral:lncRNA from 1 species